rfam:Candidatus Kinetoplastibacterium galatii TCC219, complete genome.
UUGCUAUCCGCUGAACGGGAAGUCCGUGUCGCGGAAGGUUUUAUCCCCUGCAUCGUGUCGGCGAAAUGCUCGAAAAGGUGAAGCG